GGUGAUUAACAUCCUUGCAGGUUAGGAUUGGUGCCUUCCAAGCACUAUGGCUGGGUUCGAUUCCCAGAUUACGCA